rnacentral:rRNA from 1 species
UACGAACUGUGCGAACGUUAUUCGGAAUCACUGGGCUUACAGGGUGCGUAGGCGGCUUGUUAAGUAGGGUGUGAAAGCCCCCGGCUCAACCGGGGGAAUUGCGCCCUAAACUGGCGAGCUGGAGUGAGAUAGGGGGUGCGUGGAACUUCCGGUGGAGCGGUGAAAUGUGUUGAUAUCGGAAGGAACGCCGGUGGCGAAAGCGACACACUGGAUCUUGUCUGACGGCUGAGGCACGAAAGCCAGGGGAGCGAACGGG